rnacentral:rRNA from 1 species
GACGAACGCUGGCGGCGUGCCUAAUACAUGCAAGUCGAACGAACCGCGACUAGGUGCUUGCACUUGGUCAAGGUGAGUGGCGAACGGGUGAGUAACCCGUGGGGAACCUACCUCAUAGUUGGGGAUAACAGUCGGAAACGACUGCUACUACCGCAGAGGACAUAGGAUCACAUGAUCCAGUCAGGAAAGGUGGCGCAAGCUAUCGCUAAGAGUUUGACCCGCGGUGCAUUAGCUAGUUGGUAGGGUAAAGGCCUACCAAGGCGAUGAUGCAUAGCCGACCUGAGAGGGUGAUCGGCCACAUUGGGACUGAGAACAGGCCCAAACUCCUACGGGAGGCAGCAGUAGGGAAUCUUCCGCAAUGGCCGCAAGUCUGACGGAGCAACGCCGCGUGAGUGAAGAAGGUCUUCGGAUCGUAAAGCUCUGUUGUUAGAGAAGAACAGCGCAUAGAGUACAUGUCAUGCGUGUGACGGCAUCUAGUAAGCAAGCCACGGCUAACUCCGUG